UAUCAUUAUCCAUGUGGAAGACUAGGCUGGAAGAGCUUGUCUCCAACUUUGAAGAAGUGAAAAAACCAGAUGUUUGGGGCAAUUCAGAAGUCUGUGGAAGUUGAAGGUGUUAAUCAAUGGCACUCAGGUUACUUCCAAGAGAAACUAUUCAGGAUUUCCAAGUAACGAAGAAUCAAGCUAGAUUUCUCAUCCUGGGAGAAACCAGCUGCCAGGUCUUGAGGAACACUCAAGCAGCACUGUGGGGAGACCCAUGUGGUGAGGAACUGGAGCCUCUGGAUAACACUCAGCAGAAACUGAGGCCUUCCAACAACCCCAUGAGUGAUACUGAAAGCAGAUCUCCCAGCCCCAGUCAAGCCUUCGGAUGACUGCGGCCCAGUAACAGCUUGAAUGCAACCUCACAAGAGACGUUGAGCUAGAAGCAGCUAGCCAAUCCACUCUUGGAUUCCUGACCCUCAGAAACUGAUAAUAAUAAAUGUUUGCUGUUUUAAGCUGCUAAGUUUUGUAGUAAUUUGUUACAGAGCAACAUGUAACUAUCAUAUGUUAAUAUUAACAGUGAGAUGGUGGCAAAAUACCAACCCACAAUGUGGAAGUGGCUUUAGAACUGAGCAAUGGGCUUUGACGAAAGGGUUAGUGACAGUCUGUAGUGCCUCGAACACACCGUCAAUAGAAGCCUUGUGGUUUUUCCUAAAGCUACAGGUGAGGGCUCACAGGUAAAUGAAGCAAAUGUUGGAAACUAGAGAAAGAGGGAAUUCAUUAUGUUGUAGUAAAAAAAUUAGUAAUGCUUUUGCCUGAAG
rnacentral:lncRNA from 10 species